AUGAACGCUGGCGGCGUGCCUCAUACAUGCAAGUCGAGCGAACGGACGAGAAGCUUGCUUCUCUGAUGUUAGCGGCGGACGGGUGAGUAACACGUGGAUAACCUACCUAUAAGACUGGGAUAACUUCGGGAAACCGGAGCUAAUACCGGAUAAUAUUUUGAACCGCAUGGUUCAAAAGUGAAAGACGGUCUUGCUGUCACUUAUAGAUGGAUCCGCGCUGCAUUAGCUAGUUGGUAAGGUAACGGCUUACCAAGGCAACGAUGCAUAGCCGACCUGAGAGGGUGAUCGGCCACACUGGAACUGAGACACGGUCCAGACUCCUACGGGAGGCAGCAGUAGGGAAUCUUCCGCAAUGGGCGAAAGCCUGACGGAGCAACGCCGCGUGAAUGAUGAAGGUCUUCGGAUCGUAAAACUCUGUUAUUAGGGAAGAACAUAUGUGUAAGUAACUGUGCACAUCUUGACGGUACCUAAUCAGAAAGCCACGGCUAACUACGUG
rnacentral:rRNA from 1 species